rnacentral:tRNA from 1 species
ACCUGCUUGGCUCAGUUGGUAGAGCAUGGGACUCUUGAUCUCAGAGUCAUCAGUUAGAGCCUCAUGUCGGGCA